rnacentral:tmRNA from 2 species
GGGGGCGAAAGGACUCGACGGAGGUAGUGAGGGCUAAGCUGCAUGUCGUGGUUCUCACCGCCACGUAAAAUAGGUGGGGAAAACACAACUGCCAACAACGAAUUGGCACUCGCUGCUUAAUUAAAAGCAGCCGCCUUCUUAGGUUCUGCUCUGAGGCUUAAGAAAGGCGUCAUAAAUCAGAGCUAUCCUUAAGUGUUUAACCCGACACUUAAGGGAAACUUAAGGGUUGUAGGCUAUAAGAGAGCCUGUGGAAGGGCGCACUUAUAGCCGAAGCUCAAAGCUUCCACUAAGCAUGUAGAUGCUUAGAAGUAGCACCUUCGGACGCGGGUUCGAUUCCCGCCGCCUCCACCA